rnacentral:rRNA from 1 species
CAGUCGCCACGGUAAAACGAAGGGGGCUAGCGUUGCUCGGAAUGACUGGGCGUAAAGGGCGCGUAGGCGGCGGCCAAAGUCAGGCGUGAAAUUCCCGGGCUCAACCUGGGGGCUGCGUUUGAUACUUGGUUGCUUGAGUGGGGAAGAGGGUCGUGGAAUUCCCAGUGUAGAGGUGAAAUUCGUAGAUAUUGGGAAGAACACCGGUGGCGAAGGCGGCGACCUGAUCCUUUACUGACGCUGAGGCGCGAAAGCGUGGGGAGCAAACAGGAUUAGAUACCCGCGUAGUCCCUGUCUCUUAUAA